ACGCCAAUGAUCGGUGACCAGAGUGUCCCCGACACAGAAGCCCCCCGGGCAGGAAGGCAGCAGAGUGGAUAGUGCCCUGAAAGGCGUGUGGCUGAGGGGGGACCAUCUCCAGAUGAAGGAGGCUGGUGGGGAGGGUCCUGGUGGCCAGGAGGAGGAAGCGUGUGGAACCGGUUUGAGAUGUAGGGGAAAUCCCUUUCCUCUGCUUUCUGGUCGUCACCUUCCUGGAAGGGGCCGUGUCACUCUUCAAGGCUCCCUUGAGACCCGGCCCGCCUCCUGUGACACCUUACCUGGGGCUCACUCAGGAGAGCAAAUGACAAAUGGCAAAGCAGUAAGCAUUCGAGAGACCCUCUGCCUCCCCCCAUGUGGCUGCAGUAAGAGGCGCCCGCGUGUGCUCCGCCAACCUCCAGCCAUCGGCUCACCCGCUCCGUCCUGGCCUCCUUGCCCGUGGCCCUAACUUCCCAGACCAGGGGGGAAGACGCGUUCCCGGCAUUUCUCGGGCCACAACUCGCGCAUCAGGGCUGCCUCGUUCCUUUGCUCUGCGAACGCCGAGGGAUGGUCCUAUGGGCCCGCUGCUCUCCUGGACAGCGAGCAGGCUGGUGAGGAGGACGGUUCCAGAUGUCCACGCCCUGUGGGGAGAGAGACCCACACACGCGGCUGUCAGUGGGUUCUCGGUCUUGCAGCGCCCACAAGGAGGGAGCACUGGGGGCACCCCUCACUCCUCCAGAGGGUCCCCGCCUUCCUGGAGGAGGUGUGAUCUGGGAUCCCAGAAAAAUGCUUUCGGUGGUCCCGUGGCCUCCGCUUGUGGACGAGAAGAACCUGGGGAGAUGGGAGAGCUGCCUUCCAGUUGAUCACUUAAACGGACUAAAGCCUGGGACGUGGGACGUCCGGGUGGCUCCGUGUCUGCCUUCGGCUCAGGGUGCGAUCCUGAGGUCCCGGGUUCGAAUCCCACAUCGGGCUCCCUGCUUGGAGCUCCCUCUGCCUGUGUCUCUGCCUCUCUCUCUGUGAUUAAAUAAAAUCUCAUGAU